UUACAAAAUUUACUUAUUAUGCAAUCGUUCACCAUACAAUGUCUAAUAGACGCACUGUAGAAAACAGAAUGUUACUCUAUUAUAGGGUGUCAAAUCGAUUUUACUGUGUGGAUACAGAAAAACUCUUUGAAAAAAAUGUCAUACCUACCAAGUUAAAAAAUUAUAUUGCUAAUUGUGACUCAGUGGUUGGCGAAAUCUGCGGUAAACACAAAUACUUUCAAACGCCAUCAUUACACAUUUUAGCGUUUCACUUACGUACACCACACGUUAACCCGCGGUUACAUUUAUCGGAGCUCUCGUCAACGCCACCGACGAGUACUAAUGCACAAAUUGUGCACUCCCUAUGACGAUGACGACGACGAUAAUUAUAAUAUUAUUAUUAUUAUACAUACAUAGUCUGCGGCUCUGCAGUGUUCGCUUACGGGAGAGAUUGCAAGCAGCAGUAGCAUUAGCAUCAGCAGACUACUAAUUAAUAAUUCAUUGUAGUCAUACAGCAACAGCAGGUCAGAAUAGAGAAAUGGUGGCGGAAACGUACUUAAUUAUUCCUCGAUGUUACCGAUGAUAUUAUAUUGUUAUUACGAUACUGCUGUAUAUGUGUCGGAAACCAUGCAGUGUAAUUUGAAUAGAAACGUCCUUUUCGUACCUAUAUGAUAUAUUAUACUAUCUGUAAGCAACGGUAAAUAAUUGCUAACAAAAAACGAUUCUGAGCGGAGUUCAGUUGAUAAUGUUGCUUUGUCAACAAUAUAUAUGCCAUACUAUGGUGAAAUGAUUACAGAAAUGUGCGUUUCUAUGACAACAAUGA